UGGGGAAUUUUCCGCAAUGGGCGAAAGCCUGACGGAGCAAGACCGCGUGAGGGAGGAAGGCUCUUGGGUUGUAAACCUCUUUUCUUGGGGAAGAAAAAAAUGACGGUACCCAAGGAAUCAGCAUCGGCUAACUCCGUGCCAGCAGCCGCGGUAAUACGGAGGAUGCAAGCGUUAUCCGGAAUUAUUGGGCGUAAAGCGUCCGCAGGUGGCACUUCAAGUCUGCUGUCAAAGGUCGGGGCUUAACCCCGGAAAGGCAGUGGAAACUGAAGCGCUAGAGUGUCGUAGGGGUAGAGGGAAUUCCCGGUGUAGCGGUGAAAUGCGUAGAGAUCGGGAAGAACAUCGGUGGCGAAAGCGCUCUACUGGACGACAACUGACACUCAGGGACGAAAGCUAGGGGAGCGAAUGG
rnacentral:rRNA from 1 species